CGCAUGGUUCAGGGAUAUUUGUGCAUGAUCCGAUGGUCUAGAUUAUGUGCGGUCAUGAUCGGACGGUUGGAACUCAAUCCGAGCAUGAUCAGGCUUGAUCUAAGGCUAUAGUAUACGAUCGGAUGGCUCUGGUGUGAGCCGAUCACGAUCGGAUGGCCAUAGAUGAUUUUAGAUUUGAUUUGGACUCGGUAUUCCUAGUAUAACACUAUUUUAAAAAUUCUAGAGCCUAUAUAGCUCUGAUUGACAAGCCAUUUAUUGCGUUGAAUAGCUGAUGACGUCCUGAAGGUACAAAAAAGUUUCAAAAG
rnacentral:lncRNA from 1 species